rnacentral:rRNA from 1 species
UGAACGCUAGCUACAGGCUUAACACAUGCAAGUCGAGGGGCAGCAUUUCAGUUUGCUUGCAAACUGGAGAUGGCGACCGGCGCACGGGUGAGUAACACGUAUCCAACCUGCCGAUAACUCGGGGAUAGCCUUUCGAAAGAAAGAUUAAUACCCGAUGGUAUAAUCAGACCGCAUGGUCUUGUUAUUAAAGAAUUUCGGUUAUCGAUGGGGAUGCGUUCCAUUAGGCAGUUGGUGAGGUAGCGGCUCACCAAACCUUCGAUGGAUAGGGGUUCUGAGAGGAAGGUCCCCCACAUUGGAACUGAGACACGGUCCAAACUCCUACGGGAGGCAGCAGUGAGGAAUAUUGGUCAAUGGGCGCAGGCCUGAACCAGCCAAGUAGCGUGAAGGAUGACUGCCCUAUGGGUUGUAAACUUCUUUUAUAUGGGAAUAAAGUUUUCCACGUGUGGAAUUUUGUAUGUACCAUAUGAAUAAGGAUCGGCUAACUCCGUGCCAGCAGCCGCGGUAAUACGGAGGAUCCGAGCGUUAUCCGGAUUUAUUGGGUUUAAAGGGAGCGUAGGUGGACAGUUAAGUCAGUUGUGAAAGUUUGCGGCUCAACCGUAAAAUUGCAGUUGAUACUGGCUGUCUUGAGUACAGUAGAGGUGGGCGGAAUUCGUGGUGUAGCGGUGAAAUGCUUAGAUAUCACGAAGAACUCCGAUUGCGAAGGCAGCUCACUGGACUGCAACUGACACUGAUGCUCGAAAGUGUGGGUAUCAAACAGGAUUAGAUACCCUGGUAGUCCACACAGUAAACGAUGAAUACUCGCUGUUUGCGAUAUACAGUAAGCGGCCAAGCGAAAGCAUUAAGUAUUCCACCUGGGGAGUACGCCGGCAACGGUGAAACUCAAAGGAAUUGACGGGGGCCCGCACAAGCGGAGGAACAUGUGGUUUAAUUCGAUGAUACGCGAGGAACCUUACCCGGGCUUAAAUUGCAUUUGAAUAAUCUGGAAACAGGUUAGCCGCAAGGCAAAUGUGAAGGUGCUGCAUGGUUGUCGUCAGCUCGUGCCGUGAGGUGUCGGCUUAAGUGCCAUAACGAGCGCAACCCUUAUCUUUAGUUACUAACAGGUCAUGCUGAGGACUCUAGAGAGACUGCCGUCGUAAGAUGUGAGGAAGGUGGGGAUGACGUCAAAUCAGCACGGCCCUUACGUCCGGGGCUACACACGUGUUACAAUGGGGGGUACAGAAGGCAGCUACCUGGUGACAGGAUGCUAAUCCCAAAAGCCUCUCUCAGUUCGGAUCGAAGUCUGCAACCCGACUUCGUGAAGCUGGAUUCGCUAGUAAUCGCGCAUCAGCCAUGGCGCGGUGAAUACGUUCCCGGGCCUUGUACACACCGCCCGUCAAGCCAUGAAAGCCGGGGGUACCUAAAGUACGUAACCGCUAGGAGCGUCCUAGGGUAAAACUG